GACGAACGCUGGCGGCGUGCUUAACACAUGCAAGUCGAACGGAAAGGCCCUGCUUUUGUUGGGUGCUCGAUUGGCGAACGGGUGAGUAACACGUGAGUAACCUGCCCUUGACUUUCGGAUAACUUCAGGAAACUGGGGCUAAUACCGGAUAUGAGCUCCUGCUGCAUGGUGGUGGUUGGAAAGUUUCGGCGGUUGUGGAUGGACUCGCGGCUUAUCAGCUUGUUGGUGGGGUAGUGGCUUACCAAGGCUUUGACGGGUAGCCGGCCUGAGAGGGUGACCGGCCACAUUGGGACUGAGAUACGGACCAGACUCCUACGGGAGGCAGCAGUGGGGAAUAUUGCACAAUGGGCGGAAGCCUGAUGCAGCAACGCCGCGUGCGGGAUGACGGCCUUCGGGUUGUAAACCGAUUUCGACUGUGACGAAGCGUGAGUGACGGUAAUGGGUAAAGAAGCACCGGCUAACUACGUG
rnacentral:rRNA from 1 species